UACGGGGGGGGGCAAGCGUUGUUCGGAAUUACUGGGCGUAAAGGGCGCGUAGGCGGUUUGCUAAGUUGGAUGUGAAAACUCUGGGCUUAACCCAGAGCCUGCAUCCAAAACUGGCAAACUUGAGUACUGGAGGGGAAAGCGGAAUUCCUGGUGUAGCGGUGAAAUGCGUAGAUAUCAGGAGGAACACCGGUGGCGAAGGCGGCUCACUGGACCGGAACUGACGCUGAGGCGCGAAAGCGUGGGGAGCAAACGGG
rnacentral:rRNA from 1 species